UCAGGGUUCGAUUCCGGAGAGGGAGCAUGAGAAACGGCUACCACAUCCAAGGAAGGCAGCAGGCGCGCAAAUUACCCACUCCCAGUUCGGGGAGGUAGUGACGAAAAAUAACAAUGCGGGACUCUAAGAGGCCCCGUAAUUGGAAUGAGACAAAUUUAAAUCCUUUAACGAGGAUCAAUUGGAGGGCAAGUCUGGUGCCAGCAGCCGCGGUAAUUCCAGCUCCAAUAGCGUAUAUUAAAGUUGUUGCAGUUAAAAAGCUCGUAGUUGGAUCUCGGGCAAGGUCUGCGGGGUGGCUCACUGGGCCUUAUCCCGCAGACUUGACCUUCAUUCAUUUUCUUCAGUUGCCUUUCAUAGGGUGAUUGGAGUGAAUGAAAUCUUUACUUUGAAGAAAUUAGAGUGUUCAAAGCGGGCGAUGCUUGAAUAGUUGAGCAUGGAAUAAUGGAAUAGGACCUCGG
rnacentral:rRNA from 1 species